UGCGGGAACAGGGCUAGAGUCUCAAGCCUUCCAAGCUGGCCAUGCCGGUUCGAUCCCGGUCACCCGCUCCA
rnacentral:tRNA from 1 species